GGAUCGGUAGCUCAGUUGGUAGAGCAGGAGACUCUUAAUCUCUUGGUCGUGGGUUCAAAUCCCACCCGAUCCACCA
rnacentral:tRNA from 1 species